AUUAAAUUAAAAUAAGUUUAUUUUACGGACCGACAGGAAAGACAAGUUUGGUUAUGAUCAUGCCUUGAAAAACUAUUGCUCACUAUCAACGGUUCUGUCUUGGUGAUUGAAGACAUAGACAGAACAGACAUGGAGGAACUGAAGUAAUCUAUUAUAUCUUUGAAUGGCUCCCUCUUAUUUUUACUUAUUUGUAGUAUUCCACUAUUGUAGCGAUUAAUGAUAUCAGGAGACGAGAUUAUCUCUGGCUGGAGUUCUAAACUGUAUUGAUGGUAUAUGAUCAUCUUGUGGUGAAGAAAGGAUCAUAAUCUUCAUCACAAAUAACAAGGAUGAUAUAGAUGAUUCUCUCCUUAGACCUUGAUGUAUGGAUCUCCAUAUAUAUUCACAUGGGACAUUGCUGUUUUGAUGGAUUAUUCAUAAUGUUGGCGUAUACCUACUUAGGCCUCUUUCAUGACAAUGAUGCCCCACACCUGUCUCUACCCGGACCUCGAAGGCUUGGUGAGGAAGAAUUUAAUAUCAAAUAAAAUUGAUGAAGUUGACAAAGACUUGUGACUAAUGUACUUGAAGCAAGUUUUAGAAAGUUGUGCUGAUUUUCCACAAACAUCGAUUUGUUGUUUACUAAAAACU
rnacentral:sRNA from 1 species